rfam:Gaeumannomyces graminis var. tritici R3-111a-1 unplaced genomic scaffold supercont2.2, whole genome shotgun sequence.
GUUCUUGUAGCGCAGUGGUUUAACGCCAAGAAGUCCUUUUUGGAGGAUGCAGGUUCGAAUCCUGCCGGGGAUA